AAGGGCACCACAAGAACGCGUGGAGCAUGUGGCUUAAUUUGACUCAACGCGGGAAAUCUUACCGGGUCCGGACACACUGAGGAUUGACAGGCAAUCAUGUGAAAUUUUUAUUUAUAACUUUUUACAUAUAAAUAUGCUAGUCCUUUCAUGAUUAUGUGAUAGGUGGUGCAUGGCCGUUCUUAGUUCGUGGAGUGAUCUGUCUGCUUAAUUGCGUUUCGUAUAGGACUUAAACUUAAGUGUGCUAUUUUUCUUGUAUACUGUUUAACGUAUUCUUUGGAAAAAUAUGUAUUUGUGUGUUAUAAAAAUGAUUACCAACAAUUUUCUUUUUGCUUGAGUUUUCAUUAAGUAUUUAUACUAUUUUAACAUUUUUUACAAAACAGUUUACUAUUUAUGGAAUAUAUGCGCACAUUAGGUCCUGAAAGCAACGAACGUGACCGCAUCCUCUUGUUGCCUUUUACUUAAAUAAGUAUUUUGACAAAAGAGUGCUUUAAAAAACUAGAGGGACCGCUGCGACUUUUUUAAACCAGAGGAAGGUUGCGGCAAUAACAGGUCUGUGAUGCCCUUAGAUGUUCCGGGCUGCACACGUGCUACAAUGAUUAUUGCAGUGAGCAUCUCAUUUUUUAUAACGCUGUAUCACCAAUCAGUUCUCUGUUUUGGUUGAACAGUCAAGCCUGCUUCGAAAGUUCGCAGGUAAUCAAUUGGAAGUAAUGAUUUCCCUUAAUUCAAAUAUUUUUUGAUUUUGUGAGCACACAAUAUGCUGCUCCCUUCCCUGGCAGUUAGCUUUUUUGGUCUUUCUGUCUUCAGUGAGUUGGGAUGUUUUUUCAGCAUGUGCUUUUUGUCAAUUCAUGGUGGGGACAGACCAUUGUUAAUUGUUGGUCUCGGUCUCAACUAGGAAUGCCUUGUACGGGCCUUUGGUUCAACAAACCACCCGGAAUACGUCCCUGCCCUUUGUACACACCGCCCGUC
rnacentral:rRNA from 1 species